UUUUUUGGCCCCAGGCGGGGAUGCCCGGAGCCCCCUGGGGGUGGAGUCUGGAACUCAGAUGGACUCCCCAUGGGUGGGCUGCCUGCGUGUGUAGGGCUCACCUUUCAGCCACCUUCCCUCCAGCGCAGCAGCUUGGAAAUAACCACAUGUGACAAUCCCCAAGGGGAAGCCCGAACCAGGCGGCCCAUCCGUCGCCUGCCUCUGUCAAGUCUUCCCAAGGAGCGGAGGUUCAGAUCUUGAAUCACUGAAGAUCGCGUCGUUCUCAGCAAAUUCAAACGAAAGGCUUGAGAUUUCUGACUUGCGAUGGUGCUGAGUAUUAGGCGGAAUGAAAACUGACGCAAUUUAGAGAACGGCUCCUUAGUCUUUUUGGUCGGCUGAAAAGGGACUUCAACCAACAUUUUAAUUAACUGAUUAAUUUUUGUGGUGCUCUUUUCAGUGUCCGCAUGAUCGUCGUACCUUUCCCAUUCUUCCUCCUGGACUUCUCCACUUACGUAUUUCUUGCCGCCCAAGUUUUGUUUUGUUUUGUCUUCAGAAUAAAGCGAUGGUUGUAGUGAUA